GUACUCAUGGCGAGAUUGGUAGCCGGACUGAGAGGGUGAUCGGCCACACUGGAACUGAGACACGGUCCAGACUCCUACGGGAGGCAGCAGUGGGGAAUAUUGCACAAUGGGCGAAAGCCUGAUGCAGCAACGCCGCGUGAGUGAUGAAGGCUUUCGGGUCGUAAAACUCUGUCCUAGAGGAAGAAUGAUGACGGUACUCUAGGAGGAAGCCCCGGCUAACUACGUGCCAGCAGCCGCGGUAAUACGUAGGGGGCAAGCGUUAUCCGGAUUUAUUGGGCGUAAAGGGUGCGUAGGCGGUUAUGCAAGUUGAUGGUGAAAGGCUACGGCUCAACCGUAGUAAGCCGUCAAAACUGCAUGACUUGAGUACAGGAGAGGAGAGUGGAAUUCCUAGUGUAGCGGUGAAAUGCGUAGAUAUUAGGAGGAACACCAGUGGCGAAGGCGACUCUCUGGACUGUUACUGACGCUGAGGCACGAAAGCGUGGGGAGCGAACAGGAUUAGAUACCCUGGUAGUCCACGCCGUAAACGAUGGACACUAGAUUGCCCGGAG
rnacentral:rRNA from 1 species